rnacentral:rRNA from 1 species
CGGCGGACGGGUGAGUAACGCGUGGGUGACCUGCCCCAUACCGGGGGAGUAACAGCUGGAAACGGCUGCUAAUACCGCAUAAGCGCACAGAGCUGCAUGGCUCGGUGUGAAAAACUCCGGUGGUAUGGGAUGGGCCCGCGUCUGAUUAGGCAGUUGGCGGGGUAACGGCCCACCAAACCGACGAUCAGUAGCCGGCCUGAGAGGGCGACCGGCCACAUUGGGACUGAGACACGGCCCAAACUCCUACGGGAGGCAGCAUG